GUUGUUACCCUUUUAAUUCGUCUUACAAAACCUCUAUUUUAAAUCCUCUUUGAAAUUUUAAAAUGUUCUUCCAUUUUCAAACCUAUAAUGAUAUAAAUAGCCGUCCAAAGAAGUACAUUCAGUAGUUCAUUAAAAUCUCCGGAGUCAAAUAAACCUAAAAAAGGAUAAAAAAAACCUAAUAAGUUCAAUUAUUAAAUAUAAAUAUUUCCUUUACUUCAAUUUCAGUCGUAUAAAUCUUAAUCAGUUAAAAUGUGUGGACCUUGCGGUGGUUGCGGCGGAUGCUGUGGAGGAUGCGGCCCUUGCUGCCCCUGCAUCACUAUAUACACGUGCUGUACGAAGAUUUGUUAAGCAGUAUGAACGGGUCGUCUCUACUCUGGUACCGCGGACUAAGGUGCUUCGACCCUAUGUGUUCAGUCUACUCAGUGCCGUCUUGUCUUAAUAAAAUAUCCUAACCCA